GACGUAGGGCGCAAGCGUUGUCCGGAUUUAUUGGGCGUAAAGAGCUCGUAGGUGGUUUGUUACGUCUGCUGUGAAAUCCUAGGGCUUAACCCUGGGCUUGCAGUGGAUACGGGCAGACUAGAGGUAGGUAGGGGAGAAUGGAAUUCCUGGUGUAGCGGUGAAAUGCGCAGAUAUCAGGAGGAACACCGGUGGCGAAGGCGGUUCUCUGGGCCUUACCUGACACUGAGGAGCGAAAGCGUGGGGAGCGAACAGG
rnacentral:rRNA from 1 species